rnacentral:rRNA from 1 species
AUUGAACGCUGGCGGCAGGCCUAACACAUGCAAGUCGAGCGGAUGAAGGGAGCUUUCUCCUGGAUUCAGCUGCGGACGGGUGAGUAAUUCCUAGGAAUCUGCCUUGUAGUUGGGGAUAACGUCCGUAAACGGGCGCUAAUACCGCAUCCGUCCUGAGGUAGAAAGUCGGGGAUCUUCGGACCUCACGCUAUCUGAUGAUCCUAGGUCGGAUUAGCUAGUUGGUUGGGUAAAGGCCUACCAAGGCGACGAUCCGUAACUGGUCUGAGAGGAUGAUCAGUCACACUGGAACUGAGACACGGUCCAGACUCCUACGGGAGGCAGCAGUGGGGAAUAUUGGACAAUGGGCGAAAGCCUGAUCCAGCCAUGCCGCGUGUGUGAAGAAGGUCUUCGGAUUGUAAAGCACUUUAAGUUGGGAGGAAGGGAAGUAAGUUAAUACGUUGCUGUUUUGACGGUACCAAAAGAAUAAGCACCGGCUAACUUCGUG